rnacentral:sRNA from 1 species
GGCCUAAACCGACUUAAGAAUCCUCGUGAUUCUACCGGCAUGGCCGAAAACCCCGCUAGAGAGCAAGGACCUCCCGGUCCUAGUCACUCUAGCGGGUCAUAUCGGGAAACCGGUAUGGGCCUGGCCGCAAGGUCGGGUC